rnacentral:lncRNA from 1 species
GUGUGGUGUCACGCAUCAGUAGUCCCAGAUACUUGGGAGGCUGAGAUGGGAGGAAUCCUUGACUGAGCCCAAGAAUUUGAGGGUGUAGUGAAAUAUGACUGUGCCACUGCACUCCCACCUGGGUGAAAGAGUGAGAUCCUAUCCCUUAAAAAAAAAAAAGUGCAAGUUUUGAGUGUUUUUUUUUUUUUUUUGGUUGUUGUUUUCUUCACUGGAGGUUAGAAUUCUGCUUGGCAUUUUUGUAUAACUAUGUUCAAGACUGAAAGUCCUGGAAAUCCUGAGGCACCAGCAGACUUCCCCCCACAUCUCAUUAGAGAAGACAGAGACACAUGGCCAAGCUGAGUUGCAAAGGAGGCAGGGAAGUGAGUGUCUGGCAAAGGGAAAUAGGAUUGUCAUGACUAGGCAAAGUGUCUGUUUCAGUGUGUUUAGAAUCUUUAAAAAUAGAGUUUCAUUUUAUUACAAAAGUUAAUACAUACUUUUUAGAGAAAGUUUGGAAAAUAGAAGGAAAACAUUCCCUAAUGCUGCUAUUCAAAGACUUCUCGAUACACCAUUUGAAUACUGUUCUAAUCAUAUUGCACAUAGAGUGUGAUCUUUUCUUUCUUCUUUUCCACUUGAUAUAUGAUUAACUUAAGGCUCUAUGGUUUUGGAAAGAUGUUUUCCAUUUUGAAAUAAAACUUAAACUAAAGGAGGCAGCAUAGAGCAGUGGCAAGAGGACUGGCUUGAGAAUAAAGAGAUGGUGCUUGUUGUCUGCGUUCUGGCACGAAUCCAUCACUGUAUCUCCAUUUCCUCAAAAUAAAUAAGUAUGUUUUCUUAGGUCUCCUAUUCCCGGGUCUGCAAGAGCAUGAGAGCUGUGCCUUUGAGACACACAAGUCACACUGUUCAGAUACUGGUUCAACAAAGCAGGUUAGGGCCAUGAAGACAAGCAGAAAAGGUAAAACUGGAGGUUAUCGCCAUGGGAAACUACAUGCCCGAUACGUAAUAAUAUAAUAUAUAAUAUGUGAUAUAUAAGAUAAUACCAGGUCUUCCAAUUUUUCAACAGAAACCAGAAAUCUAGGCCGGGCACAGUGGCUCACACCUGUAAUCCCAGCACUUUGGGAGGUGGAGACGAUAGGAUCACCUGCGGUCAGGAGUUCAAGACCAGCCUGGCCAACAUGCCGAAACCCCCGUCUCUACUAAAAAAUACAAAAAUUAGCCGGGCGUGAUGGAGGGCUCCUGUGGUCCCAGCUACUCAAGAAGCUGAGGCAGGGAGAAUUGCUUGAACCUGGGAGGUGGAGGUUGCAGUGAGCAGAGAUCAUGCCACUGAACUCCAGCCUGGGUGACAGAGCGAGACUCCGUCUCAAAAAAAAAAAAAAAAAAAAAAAGGAAACCAGAAAUCUAGAUUUUCACUUGAUAUUGAUUUUUCUUUUUUCUUUUUUUGGGGGGUGUGUGUCGGAGGGUGGGCGGAUGGAGUCUCAUUCUAUUGCCCAGGCUGGAGUACAGUGGCACCAUCUUGGCUCACUGCAGCCUCCGCCUCCCGGGUUCAAGCGAUUCUUCUGCCUCAGCCUCCCAAGUAGCUGGGAUUAUAGGUGCCUGACACCAUGCCCAGCUAAUUUUUUUUUGUAUUUUUAGUAGAGACGGGGGUUUCACCAUGUUGGCCAGGCUGGUCUCAAACUCCUAACCUCGAGUGAUCCAUGGGCCUCAGCCUCCCAAAGUACUGGGAUAACAGGCAUCAGCCACCAAGCCCAGCCAUUCACUUGAUAUUGAUAUUUAAAUAUUGGCACCUAAUUUGAAAACCAAAACAAAUCACUGCAGGGGCCAAACAAAACAUGUCUAUUGGUUGUCAGUUUGUAACUUCAGCUAACCCAGGAGCCAACUUGAUCAACACUGGAGCAAGGAUGCAUAUAAAGGGGUUAAGAAGAACUGCUUAUAAGACAUUUUGACUAUGCAGCAACUUAAUUGUUACAAUGAGGCUAAAACACCAAAUGAUUGCACUAAUAGUGAAUAAACAUAGCCUAGGAUUUAUUAUUAUUAUUAUACUUUAAGUUCUGGGAUACAUGUGCAGAACGUGCAGGUUUGUCACAUAGGUAUACAUGUAACAUGGUGGUUUGCUGUACCUAUCAACCCAUCAUCUACAUUAGGUAUUUCCGCUAAUGCUAUCCCUCCCCUAGCCUCCCACUCCCUGACAGGCCCCAGUGUAUGAUGUUCCUCUCCCUGUGCCCAUAUGUUCUCACUGUUCAACUCCCACUUAUGAGUGAGAACAUGCGGUGUUUGGUUUUCUGUUCCCUGUGUUAGUUUGCUGAGAAUGAUGGUUUCCAGCUUCAUCCAUGUCCCUCCAAAGACAUGAACUCAUCCUUUUUUAGGGCUGCAUAGUAUUCCAUGGUGUAUAUGUGCCACAUUUUCUUUAGCCAGUCUAACAUUGAUGGGCAUUUGGGUUGGUUCCAAGUCUUUGCUAUUGUGAAUAGUGCUGCAAUAAACAUAUGUGUACAUGUGUCUUUAUAGUAGAAUGAAUUAUAAUCCUGUGGGUAUAUACCCAGUAAUGGGAUGGCUGGGCCAAAUGGUAUUUCUAGUUCUAGUUCCUUGAGGAAUCGCCACAGUGUCUUCCACAAUGGCUGAACUAAUUUACACUCCCACCGACAGUGUAAAAGCGUUCCUAUUUCUCCACAACUGCUCCAGCAUGUGUUGUUUCCUGAC